AUUGAACGCUGGCGGCAGGCCUAACACAUGCAAGUCGUGCGGAUGACGGGAGCUUGCUCCUUGAUUCAGCGGCGGACGGGUGAGUAAUGCCUAGGAAUCUGCCUGGUAGUGUGGGACAACGUUAAGAAAGGAACGCUAAUACCGCAUACGUCAUACGGGAGAAAGCCGGGGACCUUCGGGCCUUGCGCUAUAAGAUGAGCAUAGGUCGGAUUAGCUAGUUGGUGGGGUAAUGGCGCACCAAAGCGACGAUCCGUAACUGGUCUGUGAGGAUGAUCAGUCACACUGGAACUGAGACACGGUCCAGACGCCUACGCGAGGCAUCAGUGGGGCAUAUUGGACAAUGGGCUAAAGCCUGAUCCAGCCAUGCCGCGUGUGUGAAGAAGGUCUUCGGAUUGUAAAGCACUUUAAGUUGGGAGGAAGGGCAGUAAGCUAAUACCUUGCUGUUUUGCCGUUACUGACAGAAUCAGCACCGGCUAACUCUGUGCCAGCCGCCGCCGUAA
rnacentral:rRNA from 1 species